rnacentral:rRNA from 1 species
GGACUACAGGGGUUUCUAAUCCCGUUCGCUCCCCUGGCUUUCGCGCCUCAGCGUCAGAAUACGAGUCCAGGACCUUGCUUUCGCCGUCGGCGUUCCGUCCGAUCUCAACGCAUUUCACCGCUCCACCGGACGUUCCAGGUCCCUCUCCUCGCCUCGAGGCGACCCGUUUCGAGGCCCGUUCCCCGGUUGAGCCGGGGGAUUUCGGCACUCGACGCGGUCGCCCGCCUACGCGCCCUUUAAGCCCAAUGAUUCCGAAUAACGUUCGCACGGUUCGUCUUACCGCGGCUGCUGGCAC